rnacentral:lncRNA from 1 species
AAUCACUAUACUAUGAAUAACUAAUGGUGUAUUGUUCUUAAGUCCCUGGGAGCUGGUUCAGAAACAAUGGAUUUGUGGAAGUGAUUGUUGAAAUUUGAAAAGUAAGGCAGUUUUAUAGAGAUGGAAAGGACCCACCGAAGGAAAAUCAUAACAUAAGGAAAUAAAAUGUUUAUGUGCUUUAACCCAGAAAGCACAAUUCAUCCCACACUUCAGUACUCAAAACAGAUUGAUUUGGAAUCCCAUUAGGUAUAAAACAAGCAAUGUUGACUCAGCA